rnacentral:rRNA from 1 species
GCGUGCUUAACACAUGCAAGUCGAACGGAAAGGCCCUUCGGGGUACUCGAGUGGCGAACGGGUGAGUAACACGUGGGUGAUCUGCCCUGCACUUUGGGAUAAGCCUGGGAAACUGGGUCUAAUACCGAAUAGGACCACGCGCUUCAUGGUGUGUGGUGGAAAGCUUUUGCGGUGUGGGAUGGGCCCGCGGCCUAUCAGCUUGUUGGUGGGGUAAUGGCCUACCAAGGCGACGACGGGUAGCCGGCCUGAGAGGGUGACCGGCCACACUGGGACUGAGAUACGGCCCAGACUCCUACGGGAGGCAGCAGUGGGGAAUAUUGCACAAUGGGCGCAAGCCUGAUGCAGCGACGCCGCGUGAGGGAUGACGGCCUUCGGGUUGUAAACCUCUUUCAAUAGGGACGAAGCGCAAGUGACGGUACCUAUAGAAGAAGCACCGGCCAACUACGUGCCAGCAGCCGCGGUAAUACGUAGGGUGCGAGCGUUGUCCGGAAUUACUGGGCGUAAAGAGCUCGUAGGUGGUUUGUCGCGUUGUUCGUGAAAACUCACAGCUUAACUGUGGGCGUGCGGGCGAUACGGGCAGACUAGAGUACUGCAGGGGAGACUGGAAUUCCUGGUGUAGCGGUGGAAUGCGCAGAUAUCAGGAGGAACACCGGUGGCGAAGGCGGGUCUCUGGGCAGUAACUGACGCUGAGGAGCGAAAGCGUGGGGAGCGAACAGGAUUAGAUACCCUGGUAGUCCACGCCGUAAACGGUGGGUACUAGGUGUGGGUUCCUUCCUUGGGAUCCGUGCCGUAGCUAACGCAUUAAGUACCCCGCCUGGGGAGUACGGCCGCAAGGCUAAAACUCAAAGGAAUUGACGGGGGCCCGCACAAGCGGCGGAGCAUGUGGAUUAAUUCGAUGCAACGCGAAGAACCUUACCUGGGUUUGACAUGCACAGGACGCCGGCAGAGAUGUCGGUUCCCUUGUGGCCUGUGUGCAGGUGGUGCAUGGCUGUCGUCAGCUCGUGUCGUGAGAUGUUGGGUUAAGUCCCGCAACGAGCGCAACCCUUGUCCUAUGUUGCCAGCGGGUUAUGCCGGGGACUCGUAGGAGACUGCCGGGGUCAACUCGGAGGAAGGUGGGGAUGACGUCAAGUCAUCAUGCCCCUUAUGUCCAGGGCUUCACACAUGCUACAAUGGCCGGUACAAAGGGCUGCGAUGCCGUGAGGUGGAGCGAAUCCUUUCAAAGCCGGUCUCAGUUCGGAUCGGGGUCUGCAACUCGACCCCGUGAAGUCGGAGUCGCUAGUAAUCGCAGAUCAGCAACGCUGCGGUGAAUACGUUCCCGGGCCUUGUACACACCGCCCGUCACGUCAUGAAAGUCGGUAACACCCGAAGCCGGUGGCCUAACCCUUGUGGAGGGAGCCGUCGAAGGUGGGAUCGGCGAUUGGGACGAAGUCGUAACAAGGUAGCCGUACCG